GUAACCUUAUUAUUUUCUUUUAGGAGUGGGCAGUAUUGAAACAGUUAUGGAAUCCAACUGACGAAAAAGCUUUAACAAAAGCAAAACAGCGACUGAGGGCAGCAUUAUUAAAAUUAAAAAGCGUGAAAUGCCUAAGCAAAGGAAAUGAGCAUCGUAUAUACCAGAUCCUGAACUACGAAGAUUCGCAUAACAGUGAAUCAGAUGAGAGAAGUUCACCAGAAUCAAACUACUCACGGAAUUCAUUUGAAAUGUCCUUAGAUGAUCUGGAAACUGAACUGUUUAUAGAUCAGCUUCUGAGUUCUAGUUUUAACAGUCAGGAAAAUGGCAAUAAUGGUUUAGGAUGGUUUCUAUAAAAAUGACUGGAUAAAAAAAACUCCUCAUAAUGAACAUUUCUAAUCAGCAUUGUUAAUCAUCUGUAUAUUAUAACCAUCUGUAUUGUAUGUAAGAACAUCUUUUAUUCAAUUUUAACUCUGUACUCUGUUUAUAUAAAGAUUUUUUUAAACUUUC